AUGAGUUGGCUGUUUACGGCGUCCAUAAAUAUUAUUGCAUUAUUUAUGUGUAACCAUCGUUUAAAACUAAGCAUCUAGUGUUCACUUGCAAAAAUGAGAGAUGGAUUGUGUCCAUUCCGCACCUGUUGGGGAAGCAAACAGCUGACAUACUCACUUUUGAAAGGGCGAUAAUUAAGGUUGCCAUCUCGUCUUCAACUGCUGGUUGCUCAGAAUAACGAGUCCCUUCUCCGGAUUCGGGAUGAUCCCGGCGACGAUGUCCCUCACUGGCUGGAUAUUUGGCCCUCAGCACUGCUCAGACACGAUGAAGCCCUCCUUCUCGUGGCCCGCCGGCUCCACCUCUGCGUAAGACGGGUGACCCGAUCCGCGGCGAAACUUCAUGGCCGGCCAUCUGCUCGGCCGUCUCUGAGGACACAUGUCCUACGUAACGUCCAACAGUGGCAUAUGGCUCACCUCGAUCAGGAAUAAACUGGCAGCUGACGUCGGGUGAUGGUAGAUGUAGACCGUAAUCAUUACGCCCGCCACCAUGAUGAGCAUCACGAGCAGAACGCCUAGGAUCAAACCCGUGUGUAGAGGAUGCGCGCCCGUCGUCCGGUCCGCCGCGCUGUCUGCCGGCAUCACUACAAACAUAAAUGAGGAUUCAUUACAACCUUAAUGCAGGUCAGUGCAUAUUAUUUGCUUUAUACAAAUACUGCUAUUAGUAUUGCACUAGAUUGCAGUGUUACUAAUGUAAAAAAACAACACAAAAAACAAAGCAGUAUUAAGUAUAGGAUAACUAAGCAUAUGUAUUUUUUGUGCUAAAAUAAAAUAUUACGUGAAACCAGUCGAAUACAAUCCUAUACAUUAUGCAAAUUAUUUUCCUGCAGAUGUGAAAUAAUGUAUGAAACGGUCCCAUUAAGUAUUUUUAAUUUUAAAAUAAAAUCUGA